CAGAUACAUUCAAUAAAAUCAAAAAACAUCAUGUCUCAGUAUUUUGGACAACUCUUUCUCCUCAGCAUAUAGGAUAUCUUCAUAGUAACAGAUCACAUAAAAAGCCACUCAAUUCGUAGCUUCACCAGUUUUUCUGAACACAUUUCUCAUCUAAAAAGCCACAAUCAUAAAAAAUAAAAAUAUUUAAAUGCAGCAAACCAGUUUUGGCCUGUUUGCACCACAAGUCACAAUGAUACCGCCUAACAAAUAUCAUGCAACAGAGUGGAACAAAAUCUACUUCCCAGCA
rnacentral:lncRNA from 1 species